CCUACGGGGGGCAGCAGUGAGGAAUAUUGGUCAAUGGACGAGAGUCUGAACCAGCCAAGUAGCGUGAAGGAUGACUGCCCUAUGGGUUGUAAACUUCUUUUAUAAAGGAAUAAAACGAGGCACGUGUGCCUUUUUGCAUGUACUUUAUGAAUAAGGAUCGGCUAACUCCGUGCCAGCAGCCGCGGUAAUACGGAGGAUCCGAGCGUUAUCCGGAUUGAUUGGGUGUAAAGGGAGCGUAGAUGGGUUGUUAAGUCAGUUGUGAAAGUUUGCGGCUCAACCGUAAAAUUGCAAUUGAUACUGGCAGUCUUGAGUACAGUUGAGGUAGGCGGAAUUCGUGGUGUAGCGGUGAAAUGCUUAGAUAUCACGAAGAACCCCGAUUGCGAAGGCAGCUUACUAAACUGUGACUGACAUUGAUGCGCGAAAGUGUGGGUAUCAAACAGGAUUAGAUACCCCGGUAGUC
rnacentral:rRNA from 1 species